GACCGCCACGGUGACUUGCAAGCAACUCACUACACUUAGGCACUGGACUACCUGAAUUUUUAAUUUAGUGAUGGAAGGCUGCUGGGUGUAGUCAAGUACUUGACUUGUCGGUGAGUGUGUCAAGAUGGGAUUGACCACUCCAGUUUAGGAGCUGUGUACAGUCGUGUUUCAAUUUAGCAAAACCUUGGCCAGGAUAGUCCUUAUGAGGAGUCACAGGACUGUUUGAGUUGAGCACGAUACGGAUGAUCUGAUCAGGGUUGACAGUUUAACUCUGAGUCGUCCUAAAUACAGGGGUCAAAAGGAUGAAUUAUACAGUAACCAUAUUCAUGUAGGUUCUGAGUGUUGCGAUUGUGACUCUUCGACCUAUCCGAAUGUCGGGUACCAUUGCUAGAUGGUCACUUCGAUUAGUACAGAAAUUGGUUCCUGUGCUACCGGCUUAGGGUCGAACCUGCGGGGUCACACAUAUUAGAGGUUCCUAUCUGAUCUGAUGGCUGAUGUAGAAUCCUACAUGGUUGGGACUCAGUGAUCGAGAAUCAGGAUUCUCUGAUCAUGAGUUCCAUAUAUUAUGGGUAUCGGGGUCAAGAGUCCCACUGGUUGGGACUUUUCAAUCAGGUUUACAUAUCGAUGAAUUCUGAUGCUUGAUUGCCCAUCAGAUUUGGACUCAGUAUUUAUGAGAGGUUUAAUUAGUGAUUUGAUCGCUAAUUAACUCAAUUUGAUUGAGUAAU
rnacentral:lncRNA from 1 species